rnacentral:rRNA from 1 species
UCCGUAGGUGAACCUGCGGAAGGAUCAUUAACGAGUUGGAGCGUGGAGAUUGACGCUGGUGCAUAUAUUUAUUGUAUGUACAUGUGCUCGCCUUCACACUCUUCAUCCAUUCAACUCCUGUGCACUUUAUCAGAGUUAGUAGCAGUACCUGUGGUAGUCAUGUGUUAUUCAUUGUUAGAGAGGGAUAACUCUUUCUGAUAAUAGUAAUAAUAAUCUUGAUUCUACUGUUACUAUGAAUACUUUGACUUUACUUAUACAAAUUCUUUGCUUGUUCUUGUGAAUGUGGAAAUGCUCCUUGUGAGCGAAAUACAAAUAUACAACUUUCAACAACGGAUCUCUUGGCUCUCGCAUCGAUGAAGAACGCAGCGAAAUGCGAUAAGUAAUGUGAAUUGCAGAAUUCAGUGAAUCAUCGAAUCUUUGAACGCACCUUGCGCCCCUUGGUAUUCCGAGGGGCAUGCCUGUUUGAGUGUCAUGUCAUUCUCAAUCCUCUUCUUCUUAAUUGAAGAAGGGGCUUGGACUUGGAGGUAUAUGAAUGCUGGUACUGUCUGUAUCGGCUCCUCUCAAAUGCAGUAGCUGGACUGUAGCUUGCGUUGUUUGGUGUAAUAGUUUUAUAUCUAUAUUCACUGCAGCGCUUACUUAGACUGUCUGCUUCCAAUAGUCCGCUUUGUCUCGGACAAGGUAUUUUGUUGCCUUAAACCAAUUUGACUCCUUUGACCUCAAAUCAGGUAGGACUACCCGCUGAACUUAAGCAUAUCAAUAAGCGGAGGAA